UAUGGGGUGCUGUGGGGCUCCCUAUGGGGCUGUAUGGGUCCCUGUGGGGCUCUAUGAGGCUCAAUAGGUCCCUGUGGGGCUCUAUGGGGCGCUGUGGGGCCGUAUGGGUCCCUGUGGGGCUCUAUGGGGUGCUGUGGGGCUCCCUAUGGGGCUGUAUGGGUCCCCGUGGGGCUCUAUGAGGCUCAAUAGGUCCCUAUGGGGCUCUAUGGGCUUCUGUGGGUCUCCCUGUGGGGCUCUAUGGGUCCCUAUGGGGCUAUAUGGGUCCCUGUGGGGCUCUAUGGGGUGCUGUGGGGCUCCCUAUGGGGCUGUAUGUGUCCCUGUGGGGCUCUAUGAGGCUCAAUAGGUCCCUAUGGGGCUCUAUGGGGCGCUGUGGCGCUGUAUGGGUCCCUGUGGGACUCUAUGGGGUGCUGUGGGGCUCCCUAUGGGGAUCUAUGGGGUAAACUGGGGGGCUCUAUGGGGCGCUGUGGGGCUGUAUGGGUCCCUGUGGGGCUCUAUGGGGUGCUGUGGGGCUCCCUAUGGGGCUGUAUAGGUCCCCGAGGGGCUCUAUGGGGCGCUGUGGGGCUGUAUGGGUCCCUGUAGGGCUCUAUGGGGUGCUGUGGGGAUCCCUAUGGGGCUGUAUGGGUCCCUGUGGGGCUCUAUGGGGUGCUGUGGGGCUGUAUGGGUCCCUAUGGGGCUGUAAGGAUCCCUGUGGGUCUCUAUGAGGAUCAAUAUGUCCCUAUGGGGCUCUAUGGGGCGCUGUGGGUCUCCCUGUGGGGCUCACUGGGUCCCUGUGGGGCUCUAUGGGGCGCUGUGGGGCCGUAUGGGUCCCUGUGGGGCUCUAUGGGGUGCUGUGGGGAUCCCUAUGGGGCUCUGUGGGUCCCUGUGGGGCUCUAUGGGGCUCAAUAGGUCCCUAUGGGGCUCUAUGGGGCGCUGUGGGUCUCCCUGUGGGGCUGUAUGGGUCCCUGUGGGGCUCUAUGGGGUGCUGUGGGGCUCCCUAUGGGGCUGUAUAGGUCCCUGUGGGGCUCUGUGGGUCCUUGUGGGGCUCUAUGCGUCCCUGUGGGGCUCUGUGAGUCCUUAUGGGGCUCUGUGGGUCCCUGUGGGGCUCUCUGGGUCCCUAUGGGGUGCUGUGGGGCUCCCUAUGGGGCGCUGUGGGUCUCCCUGUGGGGCUCUAUGGGUCCCUGUGGGGCUCUAUGGGGUGCUGUGGGGCUCCCUAUGGGGCUCUAUGGGUCCCUGUGGGGCUCCCUAUGGGGCUGUAUGGGUCCCUGUGGGGCUCAAUGGGGCGCUGUGGGGCCGUAUGGGUCCCUGUGGGGCUCUAUGGGGUGCUGUGCGGAUCCCUAUGGGGCUGUAUGGAUCCCUGUGGGGCUCUAUGAGGCUCAAUAGAUCCCUAUGGGGCUCUAUGGGGCGCUGUGGGUCUCCCUGUGGGGCGCUGUGGGUCCCUAUGGGGCUCUAUGGGGUGCUGUGGGGCUCCCUAUGGGGUUGUAUGGGUCCCUAUGGAGCUCUGUGGGUCCUUGUGGGGCUCUAUGGAUCCCUAUGGGGCUCUGUGGGUCUCUGUGGGUCCUUAUGGGGCUCUGUGGGUCCCUAUGGGGCUCUAUGGGUCCCUAUGGGGCUCUGUGGCUCCUUAUGGGGCUCUGUGGGUCCCUGUGGGGCUCUCUGGGUCCCUAUGGAGCUCUGUGGGUCCUUGUGGGGCUCUAUGGAUCCCUAUGGGGCUCUGUGGGUCUCUGUGGGUCCUUAUGGGGCUCUGUGGGUCCCUAUGGGGCUCUAUGGGUCCCUAUGGGGCUCUGUGGCUCCUUAUGGGGCUCUGUGGGUCCCUGUGGGGCUCUGUGGGUCACUAUGGGGCUCUGUGGGUCCCUGUGGGGCUCUAUGGGUCCCCGUGGGGCUCUGUGGGGUCUAUGGGUCCCUAUGGGGCUCUGUGGGUCCCUGUGGGGCUCUAUGGGUCCUUAUGGGGCACUGUGGGUCCCCGUGGGUUCCUGUGGGGCUCUGUGGCUCCCUAUGGGGCUCUAUGGGUCCCUGUGGGGCUGUGUGGGUCCCUAUGGGUGCGUAUGGGGCGCUGUGGGGCAGCCCGGGGGUCGCGGCGCCCCCCAACUCACCGCAGGACGUAAAGGGAGAGCGGCUCCAGCAGCAGCUCUGCCCACUCCUGGGGGUCCCCAACGCUGCGCAGCCGCAUCACCGCCGCCGACAGCAGAGAGAGCCCCGCGAUGGUGCAGCCACAGAACUGGG
ensembl:lncRNA